UUCGUAUACGUCGAGGAUACGCAGUCGAUUCUAACGACGAUUCGUUAACCGUUUCGUGUCGAUGCUAAACGUGAGAUCUAGCUGUCGUAUGGCCAACGCCGAGGCCGGUGUUCUCACGGCGGUGCGUCCUGGCGUAAGCGCGGAUCGCCCGAAGUCUCUCGCGUCACGUUGACGUUAAAUGGGGGCGACCUUCGCGCGUGCAUUAGACAAAUAAAAUCUUAAAACUCGGGCGAUCGACAUUUCUAAGCGCUGACUGUGCCGCGAGAACACGGUCCCGCCUAUUUAUUCUUUACAUUUGUAUAUUCAAUGAGUUCGUGCGUAUAUUUAGAGAAUAAUCGAGCGUAUACGGAUAGAUUUCAGAGAGAAGUGUGGUACCUAAUGUUGUGUAAGAGCGAGAGAGAGAGACGAAGGGCUCAGAGCCCGAGUGAUUAGUUAGGUAAUUUACGGGGAAACAUUGUAGUCGAGUGAUAAGAGAGAAAGAAAAGAGAGACGAUCGUGAGAGGGACCUAUUAGAGUUAUAUCAUCGUUGAAUCAUCGCACAUUGCAUACACACACCACGUGCCAUAUCAUCGCAUAUUAUAUAUCAGAGAGACAGAGUUUAAAUACUAUUAAUUUUAAGUCGUAGCUAGAUAUAUACAGUUGUAUACAUAUAUACGGCGUGACGGAAUCACGCGGGUGGAGAUCCGGCAUGUGUACAGCAUUCCUGCCUGUCUGUCUACACGUGGUACGAAGGGGCGAGUGAACGAGGGCAUACGAGAUGAAAAAUCGCGGAACAUUUCAGUACCGAAACGGACGUCCGAGGACAUUUGUCUUGUGAACGUAAUUCAAUUUCAGAAGAUCGGUUCUUUACAGUUGAACUGACUGCACCAGACCGCAUCUUUUUCCUUCUAAUGUGGAGGGAAAAAGAUCAACUCUGAACCAGUGCCACUAUAAAGAACAGGCCUACAGCGGACACCGAAAACCGAAAGAGUAUAAACGCGUGCCUCCCUUGUUCGUUCGCCUCUUCAAAUUCCGUGAGCGAACGCGCGGUAUUCGGUGAAAUGGAAUUCUCGCCGCUACUCGGACAUCGACUGACGUUAUUUACUCGCGAUCACAAUAAUUUCGGCUCGCUCGGUGACUCCGGGGGUCACCGACUUGGCGGAGGAAGGAAGUUUGUUUAGUAACGAAACCGUUGUUCAUUCUAUCGUCAUCGUCAUCGUCAUGAUAGCGAGUCACACUCGCGUCGUCACGUCGACACCGCCGCUGUUCGAAGCGUCUCUGUUCGCCCAACCAUUUACCCUCCGUAAUCGAAUUCUGUUCCUUCUUCGCAUCGACAGUACACACGCACGUGUAAGAUAUUAUCGCAUCUCGAUCGUGUAAUCACAGAAUAUAUUGCACAUACGACUGCACAUAUUAUAUACAUAUUUACAAGUGUGUAUAUACAUUAUAUAUACAUAUACAUGGUCAUGAUCGCGAUCCGUGUUGCUGUCUCGCCCGCUCGAAAUCCAAAGUAAUUCUGACCAUUGUCACUUUCACUUUAUCUUUCCUCGAGCGACUCGAAUCUAUUCUAAAACAUAUCUGAAACUCAGAGAGAAAAAAAAACGUACUUUUCCGCCCACCACACAAAUGAUAUUUUAAGAGUCAUAUUAUAUUACUACACGAAAUGUCCCUCAUGCUAAGCGCGCUUCCUUUAAACUGCAGAUUUCUCAGUCGAUGACUGAGAUUGAUUUUGUCUUUGCGAAAGCAUCGAGGUACCUAGCUCUUGUAAGGAAUUGAAAAUCAAGGAUCACAGAGAUAAAAACUAACAUCCCUUAUGUUCUAUCAUAUUUUUCGGUUAAUCUUAAGUAGCUUCGCUCGGAUAAGAUUUUACUUUGAAAUAUUUACGAAGGUAAACAUGACGUUGCGUGUAUCAAAGGUUUACGAUAUAAAAGACGACACGUUUGCUAAAGGGAGAGAGAGAGAGAUAACUCGAAAUUAAAUAAAAGGUUAUAGAGCACGCGGUCCGGAGAGAUUAUGCUUAAGGAAAGAUAUCUCGUACAAAUACACGGACUGUUCAUUGUUGUGUAUCAUAGACUGUCUAUAUCCGUUUUGCCACAAACGCUUUUUCGAACAUCCGGAAGGAACGUGGGGAGUAUCUCGAGAAGAAAUCCCGAGAGACAGCCACGGUAGCGGUGAGUUUCCGAAUGUCCAUUAUCCCAUCGAGAAAUUACCCCGCCCUUUCCCUACAAAAUUUUCAACGCUCCACAUGUGUCUGCCUCCAUGUGUUACAAUACGCGCUGCGCCGUGUUUCUUCCGACUAUCAUUCUCCUCUUUUAUCUCGCGCGAGUAAACGUAUGCAGAUAAGCGGCUCGGAGCGUGAGCUGGAGCGGCUGAGUGUGUUUCCGCAAUCCAGUCUUUUUUUCUCCUCUUCGACAUAAUUUUGCCCGAGAAAACGCUCUUCGGAUGCCCUUUUUCCUCUUCACUUUUCGGAUACGCUCUUGUCGCGCGGCGUUGCGACCAGGGUGGAGCCUAAAAGCGAAAACAGGAAGCAGACGUGUUCCGAUCUUCUUGGGACAAUUGUACAUAAAGAGUGAAAACUAUUGCUGUGCGAAGCGUCUGAAUUUGUUCCCAUUGCGCUGGCGUAUUAAUAAUAAUGACAGACGGAGACGGAGUUUAGCAACACCCGAUUGCGUUGCGUUGCAUCGUCGUACACACUUCCGCAUUGUAAAUGUUUUAAGAAAGAAAAAGAAUCACGUUGCCUAUGGUAAAGUUGUUCGCAUCGCGAGGAGGAAUCGUAGCGGCUGCAUCUCGCCCGGACGCGAUCCGCGAGGCACUCGGCGGAGCCUCGUCGAUCUCCGAGGGCCGGUUCCAUCAACGUUAUUGAAUUCUCUGUAAUAGCAAGCGAUCGUUCCGUUUUAGAUUAAUUAGUGUAACACGUAGAAUAAUGCGCAUAGUAAUGGACGUAAUUUAGUUAAACGUAAGUGAAGCCUGUUGUUGAAUCAGGUCGGUGGAAUCGGUCCGGGGAUGCGAGGAGCGAGCUUGUAUAAACAAUCCGGCGAGCCGGGCAGCCGCUACCGUGCCUCUAGCGAGUCUGUAAAGUAUCGAAGAUUUCGACGUCCUAAGAGCAAAGUAUAAACGAGUCACACGUUCGAUAUGACAAUUCUUAAUUUCGCUUUUUCCCCCUCUCCUCACCCGUGGUCCGUUCGCGCACGUUUUCUCGUUCCUCGUUUUGCGAUCAACGUACCAUAUCCGAAGGGUGCUCUUAAAAUGGUGUUAGCGAGAAGGGAAAGUGAAAGUGAGAAAUUUGUGGGAUGUACUUAAGGCGGUGCGUUACCGUCGAGCGAGGGGUAGAAAAGAAAAAGGGAUUGGCUUUCUUAUUGGGAUAAGCUGCCUCAGGGGGAAGGUAAAUCCAGGGACUCUUAAUAAACUUAUCCGAAACUA